UACAGAGGUCUCAAGCGUUUGUUCGGAUUCAUUGGGCGUAAAGGGUGCGUAGGUGGCGCUGUAAGUCGGGUGUGAAAUUUCGGAGCUUAACUCCGAAACUGCAUUCGAUACUGCGGUGCUUGAGGACUGGAGAGGAGACUGGAAUUCAUGGUGUAGCAGUGAAAUGCGUAGAGAUCAUGAGGAAGACCAGUGGCGAAGGCGGGUCUCUGGACAGUUCCUGACACUGAGGCGCGACAGCGUGGGGAGCAAACAGG
rnacentral:rRNA from 1 species